ACGGCGAGUGAAGCGGCAACAGCUCAAAUUUGAAAUCUGGCUUCGGCCCGAGUUGUAAUUUGCAGAGGAUGUUUAUGGUGCGGUACCUUCCGAGUUCCCUGGAACGGGACGCCACAGAGGGUGAGAGCCCCGUCUGGUUGGAUACCAAACCUGUGUUAAACUCCUUCAACGAGUCGAGUAGUUUGGGAAUGCUGCUCUAAAUGGGAGGUAAAUCUCUUCUAAAGCUAAAUACCGGCCAGAGACCGAUAGCGCACAAGUAGAGUGAUCGAAAGAUGAAAAGCACCUUGAAAAGGGGGUUAAACAGUACGUGAAAUUGUUAAAAGGGAAGCGUUUAUGACCAGACUUGUGCCGUGUGGCUCAUCCGAGGUUCUCCCCGGUGCACUCCACACGGUUCAGGCCAACAUCGGUUCUCGUUGGGGGAUAAGAACGGUAGGAACGUGGCCCUCUUCGGAGGGUGUUAUAGCCUAUCGUACGAUACCCUGAUGGGGACCGAGGACCGCGCUUCGGCUAGGAUGUUGGCGUAAUGGUCAUUAGCGACCCGUCUUGAAACACGGACCAAGGAGUCGUCCAUUAGAGCGAGCGUUUGGGUGUAAAACCCGCACGCGUAAUGAAAGUGAAAUUAGGUGAGAGCUUCGGCGCAUCAUCGACCGAUCCUGAAGUUUACGGAUGGAUUUGAGUAAGAGUUUUAACGGACGGACCCGAAAGACAGUGAACUAUGCUUGAAUAGGGUGAAGCCAGAGGAAACUCUGGUGGAGGCUCGCAGCGGUUCUGACGUGCAAAUCGAUCGUCAAA
rnacentral:rRNA from 1 species